CAGAAGCAGCAGCGCGCAAAUUACCCACUCCCGGCACGGGGAGGUAGUGACGAAAAAUAACGAUACGGGACUCAUCCGAGGCCCCGUAAUCGGAAUGGGAACACUUUAAACCCUUUAACGAGUAUCCAUUGGAGGGCAAGUCUGGUGCCAGCAGCCGCGGUAAUUCCAGCUCCAAUAGCGUAUAUUAAAGUUGUUGCGGUUAAAAAGCUCGUAGUUGGAUGUGUGUCCCACGCUGUCGGUUCACCGUUCGUCGGUGUUUAACUGGCAUGUAUGUGUGGACGUCCUGCCGGUGGAUGCGGUCGGCCGUGGGCUUCGGUCUGCGCGUCGGCGGUCCGAUGCAAUCCUGCCGCGGUGCUCUUCACCGAGUGUCGAGGUGGGCCGGCACGUUUACUUUGAACAAAUUAGAGUGCUUAAAGCAGGCAGUGGUUCGCCUGAAUAUUGUGUGCAUGGAAUAAUGGAAUAGGACCUCGGUUCUAUUUUGUUGGUUUCCGGAACUUGAGGUAAUGAUUAAUAGGGACAAAUGGGGGCAUUCGUAUUGCGACGUUAGAGGUGAAAUUCUUGGAUCGUCGCAAGACGAACCUAAGCGAAAGCAUUUGCCAUAAGUGUUUUCAUUAAUCAAGAACGAAAGUUAGAGGUUCGAAGGCGAUCAGAUACCGCCCUAGUUCUAACCAUAAACGAUGCCAGCCAGCGAUCCGCCGAAGUUCCUCCGAUGACUCGGCGGGCAGCUUCCGGGAAACCAAAGCUUUUGGGUUCCGGGGGAAGUAUGGUUGCAAAGCUGAAACUUAAAGGAAUUGACGGAAGGGCACCACCAGGAGUGGAGCCUGCGGCUUAAUUUGACUCAACACGGGAAACCUCACCAGGCCCGGACACCGGAAGGAUUGACAGAUUGAGAGCUCUUUCUUGAUUCGGUGGAUGGUGGUGCAUGGCCGUUCUUAGUUGGUGGAGCGAUUGUCGUAUCA
rnacentral:rRNA from 1 species